rnacentral:rRNA from 1 species
AGUGAACGCUGGCGGUAGGCCUAACACAUGCAAGUCGAACGGCAGCACAGUAAGAGCUUGCUCUUACGGGUGGCGAGUGGCGGACGGGUGAGGAAUACAUCGGAAUCUACCUUUUCGUGGGGGAUAACGUAGGGAAACUUACGCUAAUACCGCAUACGACCUACGGGUGAAAGCAGGGGAUCUUCGGACCUUGCGCGAUUGAAUGAGCCGAUGUCGGAUUAGCUAGUUGGCGGGGUAAAGGCCCACCAAGGCGACGAUCCGUAGCUGGUCUGAGAGGAUGAUCAGCCACACUGGAACUGAGACACGGUCCAGACUCCUACGGGAGGCAGCAGUGGGGAAUAUUGGACAAUGGGCGCAAGCCUGAUCCAGCCAUACCGCGUGGGUGAAGAAGGCCUUCGGGUAGUAAAGCCCUUUUGUUGGGAAAGAAAAGCAGCAGGUUAAUACCCCGCUGUUCUGACGGUACCCAAAGAAUAAGCACCGGCUAACUUCGUG